GUGCCAGCCGCCGCGGUAAUACCGGCAGCCCAAGUGAUGGCCGCUGUUAUUGGGCCUAAAGCGUCCGUAGCCUGCCGUACGGGUCCGUCGGGAAAUCCGCCCGCUUAACGGGCGGACGUCCGGCGGAAACCAUACGGCUUGGGACCAGAGGACCCGAGGGGUACGUCGGGGGUAGGAGUGAAAUCCCGAGAUCCUCGACGGACCGCCGGUGGCGAAAGCGCCUCGGGAAGAUGGAUCCGACGGUCAGGGACGAAAGUUGGGGUCUUGAACCGGAUUAGAUACCCCGGUAGUCC
rnacentral:rRNA from 1 species